rnacentral:rRNA from 1 species
GUAGGUGGCAGGCGUUGUCCGGAAUUAUUGGGCGUAAAGCGCGCGCAGGCGGUUUUUAAGUCUGAUGUGAAAGCCCACGGCUCAACCGUGGAGGGUCAUUGGAAACUGGAGAACUUGAGUACAGAAGAGGAAAGCGGAAUUCCACGUGUAGCGGUGAAAUGCGUAGAGAUGUGGAGGAACACCAGUGGCGAAGGCGGCUUUCUGGUCUGUAACUGACGCUGAGGCGCGAAAGCGUGGGGAGCAAACAGGGAUUAGAUACCCUGGUAGUCCACGCCGUAAACGAUGAGUGCUAAGUGUUAGGGGGUUUCCGCCCCCUUAGUGCUGCAGCUAACGCAUUAAGCACUCCGCCUGGGGAUACGGCCGCAAGGCUG